UAACCUAGUGGCAGACGGGUGAGUAACACGUGGUCAACCUUCCCCUUUAGUGGGGGAUAACUAGCCGAAAGGUUAGCUAAUACCGCAUACAAUCUAUAUCCGGCAUCGGAAGUAGAUAAAAGGAGCAAUCCGCUUAAGGACGGGACCGCGUCCCAUUAGUUAGUUGGUGGGGUAAUGGCCUACCAAGACUCCGAUGGGUAGCUGGUUUGAGAGAGCGACUAGCCACACUGGGACUGAGAAACGGCCCAG
rnacentral:rRNA from 1 species